UGGGGAAUUUUGGACAAUGGGGGAAACCCUGAUCCAGCCAUCCCGCGUGUGCGAUGAAGGCCUUCGGGUUGUAAAGCACUUUUGGCAGGAAAGAAACGUCAUGGGUUAAUACCCCGUGAACCUGACGGUACCUGCAGAAUAAGCACCGGCUAACUACGUGCCAGCAGCCGCGGUAAUACGUAGGGUGCAAGCGUUAAUCGGAAUUACUGGGCGUAAAGCGUGCGCAGGCGGUUCGGAAAGAAAGAUGUGAAAUCCCAGAGCUCAACUUUGGAACUGCAUUUUUAACUGCCGGGCUAGAGUGUGUCAGAGGGAGGUGGAAUACCGCGUGUAGCAGUGAAAUGCGUAGAUAUGCGGGGGAACACCGAUGGCGAAGGCAGCCUCCUGGGAUAACACUGACGCUCAUGCACGAAAGCGUGGGGAGCAAACAGG
rnacentral:rRNA from 1 species